rnacentral:lncRNA from 1 species
CCCCUAUUUUCAGCCCUUGCAUUGCGCCCUAUUUUCAGCCCCUGAUCUGCGCCCUAUUUUCAGCCCCAGACCAUUGCGCCCCAUUUCAGGACAUUGCGCUGCGCCCCAAUUUUGGGGGCUCUGGAUUUGCCCCCCCCCCCAUUUUCAGACACGGAUUUACCCCCCCCCCUUUAUUUGCCCCCUAUUUUCAGACACUGCGCUGCCCCCAACUGGGGGCAUCAGAUUUGCCCCCAAUUUUCAGACGUGGAUUUGCCCCCUAUUUUCAGACGCAGAGCUGCCCCCCAUUUUGAAAUGAAGCUCUGUGCUCAUUUGGGGGUCACAGCGCUGCCCCCCAUUUUCAGACGUGGAUUUGCCCCCUAUUUUCAAACACAAUUUGCCCAUUUUCAGACUCUGAUAUUUGCCCCCUAUUUUCAAACACAAUUUGCCCCCUAUUUUCAAACACAAUUUGCCCCCUAUUUUCAAACCCAACUUGCCCAUUUUCAAAUACAAUUUGCCCCCUAUUUUCAAACAAAAUUUGCCCCCUAUUUUCACUCUGCUAUUUGCCCCCUAUUUUCAGACUCCGAUAUUCGCCCCCUAUUUUCAGACACCGAUAUUUGCCCCCUAUUUUCUAACACAAUUUGCCCCCUAUUUUCAGACACAGAUUUGCCCCUAUUUUCAGACUCCGAUAUUCGCCCCCUAUUUUCAAACACAAUUUGCCCCCCAUUUUCAGACUCUGAUAUUUGCCCCCUGUUUUCAGACCUAAUUUGCCCCCCAUUUUCAAACACAAUUUGCCCCCUAUUUUCAGACUCUGAUAUUUGCCCCCUAUUUUCAAACACAAUUUGCCCCCUAUUUUCAGACGCAGUUUGCCCAUUUUCAUACUCUGAUAUUUGCCCCCUAUUUUCAAACCCAAAUUGCCCAUUUUCAAACCCAAUUUGCCCCCUAUUUUCAAACACAAUUUGCCCCUAUUUUCAAACCC